GGAUUAGAUACCCUGGUAGUCCGCACUGUAAACGAUGAUUACUCGCUGCUGGGAGGUAACUUUCAGUGGCUUAGCGAAAGCGAUAAGUAAUCCACCUGGGGAGUACGCCGGCAACGGUGAAACUCAAAGGAAUUGACGGGGGCCCGCACAAGCGGAGGAGCAUGUGGUUUAAUUCGAUGAUACGCGAGGAACCUUACCAGGGCUUGAAAGUUAGUGACCGGUGGUGAAAGCCACCCUUCAGCAAUGACACGAAACUAGGUGCUGCAUGGCUGUCGUCAGCUCGUGCCG
rnacentral:rRNA from 1 species